rnacentral:rRNA from 1 species
CCUACGGGAGGCAGCAGUGGGGAAUAUUGGACAAUGGGCGCAAGCCUGAUCCAGCCAUGCCGCGUGAGUGAUGGAGGCCCUAGGGUUGUAAAGCUCUUUCGGCGGGGACGAUAAUGACGGUACCCGCAGAAGAAGCCCCGGCUAACUUCGUGCCAGCAGCCGCGGUAAU